rnacentral:lncRNA from 1 species
GACCACUCUCAUUCCAGCCAACCUAAUAAACUCAUAUAGUAAGUACAUGCCCUAAACCCUAAAAAAAGAUAAAAAUCACACAACAAACAAAGUAUAGUAUACCUCAAAUUUAAUCCCACUACUCCUUGCUUUAAUCACCUUUUGCAUGAUAGUUGCACCACGUUUGACUUCUUUUUCAUAAGUCUUGGAGGUGCCAACUUCUUCAUUUUGAACUUCUAUAUCUUUGUUUGUAUCCAUUUAACUACAACAAGUUCAACAUGCAGUUUAGUAUAACAUCACCAAGCUCAACAUG